AUUUUCGCGCCUGCCUAUCCCGCCUCACUGUCCCGCCAGUCCUAAUGUGUAAACAUAAUCAAAAUACUUGAUUUAACCCAUUAUUUUUCUCUCCAUCUCCGUUGCAUCUCCUUUUCCUUCUCCUAUCUUUUUUUAUUUUUUUUUAAUUUUUUUUAAUUUUUUUAAUUUUUUUAAUUUUUAAUUUUUUUUCUGUCAAAAUCAUUUUCCAAAGGUUGCAUCUCCGUUGCAAACCCACUUUCUUCCCUCAAGACCAGCUGCUCUCUGCAUCUCCAAAGUGGUGGUCGCCGAUUGAUCUGCUGGUUGUCGUUUAAAGGUGUUCUGGUCCCUGGUUGUUGCCGUUCUGCAGGUGGAAGUGCCAAAAGUAGUGCCAAAAUUCAAUCCCUCGUUUCUUGGGUUCACCAAGACUGCUGAAAUUUGGAAUCCUAGAGCUUGUAUGAUUGGUCUUGUUGGAAUCAUCGUUGUAGAAUUGGCAUAGAGAAGUGGACUGGGUAUAAGCUUCAUAGCCACAAUUAUGCAUUCCUGAACCAUUUGAAGGCCAGCAUCCGAUUUGCAAAGCAAAAAUGUUAGAGGAGGGACUAUUAGCAAAGGAACUACAGCUAUGGUUGCAACUAUGGGGAGGUUAAAGGUGGAACUAGAUUAUGCCACAGGGAGGCCCACAAAUGACAAGAUUUCAAAUAAAUUAACAAGUGAAUGCGGUUAUCUAGUUAGGAAGCAUACUCCUCUACAAGUUGAGACAUGGAUGCAGAUUGAUGAGAAUAAAAGAAAAAGAAUCAGAGACCUUCUAUAGUGUACGCACAAUUUUCUCGGUAAUUAUAACAUUGUCGUCAAACACUUUCAUCGCUAAGGAAUUAUGUGCUUCAGCACUAUUUUGUUGGUAAACAUUUGAUUAUUGCCGACGAAAUACCUUUCGUGACCAAAAAGCAUUUUCCCGAUGAAGCUAUUUUGUCGCUAAAAGCAAUUUCCGACGAAUAGGGUUUCAUUGCUAAAACUCUUUGCCGAGGAAAUUGGUUUCGCCGCUAAUACUCUUUGCCGAGGAAACAAAUUGCGUCGCGAAAAAUAGCUUUGUCGACGACAUGUAAUUUUGACGGUAAAUAACUUAUUGCCGACAAAAUAAUUUUUUCGCUACUUACAUUUCAAGAAUAUAAAAAUUUGCCAUAUUUCUGUUGCCAAAAGAUUUUACUGACAAGUUUUGGUUUGAGGGAAAUAGUUUGUCGCGGCGAAUUUUUUUUUUGGUCGGCAAAAGCUUUAUCCAAGAAAAUCAUAAAAUUCGUCAGUAAAGACAAUUGCAGAGGACACAUAGGCGAUGAAGUUGCCAACGAAUUUAUUUUUAUUGGUAAAACACAUACCGACGAUAGUUGAGUUCUUUUUGUUGAAAAAUAUUGAAUCAUCUAAGGAGAGAGACCAUCGUCAAACGAUCAAUGGCGGGAUCAACGUCAGACUUACUAGUGGAUGAGUUUGGGUGAUGAUGACGCAACGAGACUAGUGGCAAUGGUUGAAAAUUUAACCCAGCCCCAUUCUUUGUACUCUAACCAUGCUCUUUUUGCCCAUUGAAUUUUUUUAGAUCUACUAAAUCUUGAAAUACAUUUUUACUGUGUAAUUUGAAAUUGUCAUAGUUAUUAUUAUUUAGUUCAAAUAAUAGUAUAGAAACAGAGCAAAUUGUGGACUAGUACAAGUUUGAAAGGUU